rnacentral:piRNA from 1 species
UAAUUUUCGUGGCUCCCAGGGUGUGGAAGU